CCAAAAUUUACGUGGCGGGUGUAAUCACUCUAGAGCUUCCUCUCCUGCAAGUGCGCAGAAGUUUCAUUCAUCUUCAAUCCAAUCUUAAAGUGCGUAUGAAAGUCGAUUCCAUUUUGAGGCCAAAAUGCUCGCAAAUUAUGCUCUUCGAUCAUCUUAUGGUAUGAACUUCUUUAUUAAAAAUUGUUCAUGACAGGGCUUCAUUAUUUUCCAGAGAUGAACAGCAUUGGAUUCAUGUUAACGACUAACGAGCUUUAAAGUGCGUAUGAAAGUCGAUUCCAUUUUGAGGCCAAAAUGUUCGCAAAUUAUGCUCUUCGAUCAUCUUAUGAAAAUGAUGAGUUGUGUAUCAAACGAAGCAUCACUUGAAAAUUUCGGUACCUCGGCGUAACAAAACGGUAUAUGCUCUUACCAUUUUUGGUGCCUUUUCCAAAGAAAUUCUUGCC